AAAAAUUGUACAUGAUCCGCCACCUGUUUUCAUACGAUUGUUUUUCUGCAGCAGCAUCUGAACGAGUUUUUCUUUUAAAAUUUUCCAAUAAUGUUUUUAGUUGUUUUACUGUAUGCUUUAUGCCAACAAAUUGUCCAUUAUAUUCUCGGCACAGUGUUUCCCAUGCCGACAUUUUCUGUUGGAUUGUGCUGUCAUCUGUUCUUUUAUCAGUUAUUGUUGACUAUUUCGGAAACAUUUAACAGGAGCAUUUUCUUCCUUAUACUGUAAUUGCUGGUACAAUUUUGUUUAAUGCUCUGACAGAGUAAUGCCAUUUGCAAAUUUUGAAGUUGCUGGAAGAAACAAACCUGGUUGUAAAGCCAACCAAUAACAGCCUUUCUUACAAACUAAUUGACCUCUCAGCUAGUGAAUAGCUAUUUGUUGUUAGUGCAACAGAAAUUCCUUUAAUCAAACUGUUAAAACUUAAUGGCCGUUUACUAGCAAGUGUUUUAAUGGAUAUCUGUGCAACUGGC
rnacentral:lncRNA from 1 species